UACGGAGGGUGCAAGCGUUUAUCCGGAUUCACUGGGUUUAAAGGGUGCGUAGGUGGGUUGGUAAGCCAGUGGUGAAAUCCCCGAGCUUAACUUGGGAACUGCCAUUGAUACUAUCAGUCUUGAAUACCGUGGAGGUCGGCGGAAUAUGUCAUGUAGCGGUGAAAUGCUUAGAUAUGACAUAGAACACCAAUUGCGAAGGCAGCUGACUACGCGAGUAUUGACACUGAGGCACGAAAGCGUGGGGAUCAAACAGG
rnacentral:rRNA from 1 species